rfam:Gossypium hirsutum cultivar TM-1 chromosome 14, whole genome shotgun sequence
AGUCCAUGAUGAGGACACCUUCUCAACAAAUCUCUAAAUCUCUCCCAUGUAUCAUAAAGAGUCUCAAUAUGAAAUUGAGCAAAAAAAGAGAUGUCAUUCCUCAACUU